rnacentral:rRNA from 1 species
UACGUAGGAGGCAAGCGUUGUCCGGAAUUACUGGGCGUAAAGCGCGUGUAGGUGGUGGGACAAGUCUGCUGUGAAAGCGCCUGGCUUAACCGGGCGAGGUCGGCGGAAACUGUCCGACUAGAGGACGGUAGAGGGGGGUGGAAUUCCCGGUGUAGUGGUGAAAUGCGUAGAGAUCGGGAGGAACACCUGUGGCGAAGGCGGCCCCCUGGGCCGGCCCUGACACUGAGGCGCGAAAGCGUGGGGGAGCGAUCCGG